rnacentral:lncRNA from 1 species
CCAAAGUCAUCGAAAUGAGAUUACUUAUGGCAACAGCAAUACGGGUAGGGGUGUGCUCACAAUAGCUCCUGAGGUAGUCGUAGUCUUUGCUUACGCAGAAGUUCCGGCACUUGCGCUUGUCAUAAUCAUGCACCGGUCUCUUGCAUUCCCACAUAGAUUCACAGUAUGUGUCAGGAUCCGUGUCUGCUUGCGCACGCACACACGCACAAAAUGGAUGAAUAAUUACUGCGUGUGUGUUACAUGUGAAAGAAAGAAUGGAAGAAUGAAGCAUCACGUAUUAAGAAAUACUACUCUACAUACCCUUGGCGAUGCAGGAGAGGGAGACCGACAUGACGAGAAGAGACUGCCAAGCACAGAAACUGUGUGUUGUUCGUGGCAUGUGCCAAUGACUAGCUAGCUAAUUCAUCCUCUUCUUCUAGACGGUAUUUGUCUUUUUGGUCGAUGGAUGCUUUGUGUGUUUAAUUCAGUUUUUCUUGUUAUUUUCUUUCCGUUCUUUCAAAGUGUGAAAUUCUUUUCAAAAUCGAUGUAUUUUUUAUUUUUGCGCUUUUUAAAAACAUAUCUCCAUAAAAUUUUAUGAGCUUUUUUGUAAAUUUGUGAACUUUUUUAAACAAAGAACUUCUUGAAAUUUGAUAAACUUUAUUGAAAAUUCAGUGCAUUUUUUAAUUCACGGUUUUUUUUUACAAAAAGACGUUUUAAAUUUUUUGAAGUCAAUGGUUGCCCGGUCAACCGUGACCAGUCAGCAGUGAACACAACGACCAGUCGAUAACCGAAGCGACCUGACGGAGUCAGCGAGUGUGUGUUUGGGUCAGGCCCAAGAGUGUGGCUGUGUGCGCCACCUCGGCGAAGGGGCGCCAGAAGCGUCGUCUAGGAGCUCCCGCGCCCUUUGGCUGCUGCCCUCUCUUUCUUAGUUUAAGUACAGGCCAAAACUUUAGGCUUUGGUCUGGGAUUUUCUGUCGCGAUUCUAUCAUCCACGGCCCAGCAAGCCCAGGCUACUUCUGGUGCUUUCUUCUUCUUUCCUGCUCUGCACUGAGUCAUGGUGGUUGUGAUAGAAACUACUCUUUUUUAGGGGUCAUCUUUAUUCCACGAACAAUCAUGAUGAAAUGUUUUGGUUAUUACAGUGGGAUGAGACCAACACACACACACACACACACACAAACAGCUAUAGCUUUCUAAGUAGCACAUAACAAACAUCAUCAUCCAGAUAUCACCUCAAAGUCAUCGAAUUGAGAUUACUUAUGGCACUCUGUUUUGCUCCGUUUGCGAGCUGUAAGACCUUUAUGAUGAUACUUUCUGGAUUUUUAAUAAAAGGGCCGCAUGCAUCAUCAUGAUGCAGAGGUCGGGGGUAUACCUCCAUUUCCAAAAAAAACAACAAUACGGGUAGGGGUGGUGCUCACAAUAGCUCCUGAGGUAGUCGUAGCCUUUGCUUACACAUAAGUUUCGGCACUUGUGCUGGUCAUAACCAUGCACCGGUCUCUUGCAUUCCCACAUAGAUUCAUGGUAUACUAGAUCGGUAACGCGCCGUGGCGCGAGGGUGCCGGUCCUAGUGUUGUGGUUAUGCAGGUAAUGCUCAAGUUAGUACUAAUCCAGGUUUAUCAUACUUACUCACACAUGAUAUAACAAAAUAAAUGUAAGAAGAAACAUUCACAUGUGAUAGAAGCAAGACAUUAUGGAGUUCAACAUCACCAUGAGAUUAUCAUAAGGCAGCAUCGAUUUUAGUACUAUUUAUGUACACAUCAUUAUUGAAGAUCAAGAAAUCUUAUCAUUUCAUUAGAAAUGAUAGCUAUUUUCUAUAUAUAUGGUACAGGCAGUUUCACACUCAAGGUAAUCUUCAAAAUAGAAAGAAUGUAAGAUAACAUACAUUCUUUCUUCUUGCCAGAACCCUUCACUUUCGCAGCACGCUCUUCAACUGCCGCCUUCUCCGGUUAGGUUUCCUCUCCAAAAAGGUCAACAUUGUUGUCAUCCAAUCAGAAGUUAUUUUCUCAUGUUUCUGCAAUCCAAUCUCCGACAAUACAUAGUAUAAAACCCAUUAGUUGAAACAUCAAAUGAAUAUUAGAAGCUCAAAUGCAGCCCGCUAAUUUUUAAUGGCAAUGAACAGAAGAAAAAAUCAAGAUGAUGUCACUUGUGCCAUUGUGCAUCAUUGGCCGUUGAAUGCCAGCUGAUAAUACUGUCAGUGGCGCCUCAGGUCGCUGAUUGCGAAAUCGGUCCUAUUUUUAAUGAUAGGAGAGGAGGGUGACAGAAUGGCUGGGAACCUGUAAGAAAAGCCAUCAAAGACAAAUCUUAUGAUCCUCAUAAAGCAUUACUAAUAAGGAAAAUCCAUCAGAAAAAAUAGUACCAAGCUCCUCUUAAAUUUGAAGAGAUAUUCUAGCAAAGCAAAGAGAGACAUUAUAGCUAUAAUUAGUGUUCUGAAGCAUGUAUUCUGGAGUAUUUGGAAGAGAUCAUUUUAUUCCCUUUUACCUUCUACAUUACAUCAAUAAUUAGUAUUCUGAAGGGGAUAACUAAAAGCAAUUGCGUCUAUUGGUAGCUCUUAUGAUUAUAGGAAAGGACAUAAGGGGAGAUCCCAAAGUGGGCAUCGAUUGUGUACCGGCAUGUAAUUGCAGCAAUAGAGUGCUCGGCUAUUGGUGAUGGCUUUUUUAAACAUCCUCAGCGGUUACCUGAAUAAGCAAAGGAGAAUACUAAAGAAAGGAUACAAUUUAUUAAGGACAAAAAUGAAUAAUAACAGGCCGGCAAAAGAGCCUAGGAGGAAAGCAAAUUAUGGAUGUCAUUCUUUCCCAGCUAUAUUUGGGUCAUGAAAAAGGAAGAUACAGUGUAUGAAGAUACAAAAGGACAAAAAAUUAUGGCAUGUCAUGCUUUCUCAGCUACUAUAUAUGUGUAGUAUAUUCUUGCCGAAGCUUGAGGAGGAGGAGAAAAGCACCUGCUGGAUGCAGUUCGAGCCUGACCAUGAACGAUGCUUCAAUUAUAGGUGGCACGACUUGCCGCGCGUUGCCCGCCAGACACCACCAGACAUGAAUAACUAUUUUGAAAGAUUGUUGAGCUACACAGGCACAUACACAAGCUAUUUGAUCACACUUGGAAUUGUCUCAGCUCAUAAGCUAUAGAUAGACAGGAAGCAAAGCACAAAGCUACACAUAUACAUUGGAAUUGGAUUAACCACAGUAAGAAAAUGUAUGUGUGUAUACAUGGUAUCGUACAGCUUACACAACUUCAUGCUUUGUAGUACAAUACAACCACAGAAGCAGGUUGUAUGAAUAAAAGUGAAUGCGGCUAGAAUGGAGAGAGAUGGUUGCAGUUGGAAGAAAGUUGAUAACAUGGCAGUCAAACUUAUAAGCUCAGUUUAUUUUUCACAGUCAAAUUUAUAGGCUCAGCCUAUUUGUCAGGCGUCAAACUACUUUGUAUGGUUAAGGCGGGAUCUAAAUGAGAAAGAAAGUGAGGCAAAACCACAUGAUUUCCACUAACCAAUAAUCUAAGCACUUCCGUAAUUACACUAAGCAAUAAAAGGUGGACCAUCACUUAGUCAGAGAAGCCAUGAAGAAGGGUUGGGUUGAAACUUGAUGCUUAACUCCUAGGUGAUUCAUGAUUGGAAUUUGGAAGGAUACUUAAAAACCUUCAAAUAUGAUCCAGUUUGAGAACAGGUGUGCAGAUGUCCUGUUUUGUUUCACAUAAAUAGUUUAGUAGUACAGCAUAGAGAAAAAGCACAUAUACAUUUAGAAUUGCUAGUGAAUAUAAGAAGUAUGAGCAUUGUUUGAGAUUGUUAAUCCAAAGUUUUACAAACAAAAAUUCAAGAACUAAUGGAUGUUUGUGUGGCUUAACCUUAGUUGGACUUGAAAGCAUAAGACUGGUGUAGCAAAAUAUCAUAUACCUAGAUGUCCAUACAGCUGGCGCCAUCAAGGUCUAGUUGUGGAAGGUCUUGCGACGGCAGCUGAUUCGAAGUUAGUUAGGUAGCACAGCAGGGCCAAACCGAUCUACCAUGGGAAACGCUGAAAGAAAUUAGGCAUUCCCUGUAAAUUAUUGAUCAUAUAAAGCAAGGCAUUUGACUGCCCGGGACAUGAUGCAUAUGAAACACUAUGGUGAUGUACGUUUUUGCAGCCGAUCAUAGAUGUGACGCCCCGAUUCAAUCAUACACUAAUCAUGCACGCAAACGUGUACGAUCAAGAUCAGGAACUCACGGGAAGAUAUCACAACACAACUCUACAACAUAAAUAAGUCAUACAAGCAUCAUAAUACAAGCCAGGGGCCUCGAGGGCUCGAAUACAAGUGCUCGAUCAUAGACGAGUCAGCGGAAGCAACAAUAUCUGAGUACAGACAUGCCUUAAGAAGGCUAGCACAAACUGGGAUACAGAUCGAACGAGGCGCAGGCCUCCUACCUGGGAUCCUCCUAACUACUCCUGGUCGUCGUCAGCGGGCUGCACGUAGUAGUAGGCACCUCCAGUGUCGUAGGAGUCGUCGUCGACGGUGCGUCUAGCUCCUGGACUCCAGCAUCUGGUUGCGACAACCAGGUAGAAAGGAAAGGGGGAAAGGAGGGAGAGAAGCAACCGUGAGUACUCAUCCAAAGUACACGCAAGCAAGGAGCUACACUACAUAUGCAUGGGUAUAUGUGUAAAGGACUAUAUCAGUGGAUUGAACUGCAUAAUACCAGAAUAAGUGGGGAUAGCUAGUCAUGUCGAAGACUACGCUUCUGACAGCCUCCAUCUUGCAGCAUGUAGAAGAGAGUAGAUUGAAGUCCUCCAAGUAGCAUCGCAUAGCAUAAUCCUACCCGGCGAUCCCCUCCUCGUCGCCCUGUUAGAGAGCGAUCACCGGCUUGUAGGCACUUGGAAGGGUGUGUUUUAUUGAGUAUCCGGUUCUAGUUGUCAUAAGGUCAAGGUACAACUCCGGGUCGUCCUUUUACCAAGGGACACGGCUAUUCGAAUAGAUAAACUUCCCUGCAGGGGUGCACCACAUAACCCAACACGCUCGAUCCAAUUUGGCCGGACACACUUUUCUGGGUCAUGCCCGGCCGCGGAAGAUCAACACGUCGCAGCCCCACCUAGGCACAACAGAGAGGUCAGCACGCCGGUCUAAAUCCUAUGCGCGCAGGGGUCUGGGCCCAUCGCCCAUUGCACACCUGCACGUUGCGUACGCGGCCGGAAGCAGACCUAGCCUAGUGGCGUUCUAGUCCAAUCCGGCGUGCGCCGCUCAGUCGCUGACGUCACGAAGGCUUCGGCUGAUACCACGACGUCGAGUGCCCAUAACUGUUCCCGCGUAGUUGGUUAGUGCGUAUAGACCAAAUGGCCAGACUCAGAUCAAAUACCAAGAACUCGUUCAGCGUGUUAUUCUGAAGUAACCGCGGACGCCGUCCAGGGCCAGGCCCACCUCUCGCCUAGGUGGUCUCAACCUGCCCUGUCAGUCCGCCACAAAGAUCCACUUGCGGGUACUCCUACGAGCCGACCCGACUUUAGUCACCACAGGUGUCAUGUAUAGAGUAUAUAAGUAUAUACCCGUGAUCACCGCCCAAGUGAUCACGGCCCGAUAGUAUAGCACAACAGACGGACAAGAAUGUAGGGCCACUAAUGGAAAACUAGCAUCCUAUACUAAGCAUGUAGGAUUGCAGGUAAAGGUAACAACAGUAGUAGCAAGGAUAGGCUAUGCAUCAGGAUAGGAUUAACGGAAAGCAGUAACAUGCUACACUAAUCUAAUGCAAGCAGUAUAGAGAAGAAUAGGCGAUAUCUGGUGAUCAAGGGGGGGGGCUUGCCUGAUUGCUCUGGCAAGAAGGAGGGGUCGUCAACAGCAUAGUCGGUCGGGGCACCAGACGCGGCGUCGGUCUCGUAGUCUACCGGAGAGAAGAGGGGGAAGAAACAAUGAAUACAAUGCAAACAGAUGCAUGAUGAUGCAUGGCAUGACAAAGUGUGAUGCUAUGUGUGCCCUGGCGCGGCAAUAGGUGAUACCGGUGAAGAGGGGGAACAUCCGGGAAAGUAUUCCCGAUGUUUCGCGUUUUCGGACAGAUGGACCGGAGGUGAAAUGUUGCAGGUGCACUAUAAUAGGGACGUGUGGUGAACGAAUGGGCUGCGUAUCCGGAUUCGUCUCGUCGUUCUGAGCAACUUUCAUGUAGAAAGUAUUUUCAUCCGAGUUACGGAUUAUUUUAUAUGAUUUUUCAAAGAUUAAACCAUUUCUGGAAUUAUUUUUAUUAAUAGAAAUCUAUUAAUUCGUCAGCAAUGCAUCAGCAUGACGUCAGCAGUCAGCUGACCUGUUUGACCCGUCAAACUGACCAGUGGGUCCUGCCUGUCAUAGACAGUGGACUAACAGAAGUUUAAAUUAACUAAAUUUAGGUUAGUUAACUACUGGACCCCACCUGUCAGUGCCUCAUUUAUCUAACUAAUUGAUUUUAAUUAUAAAAUGUUUUAGGUAAAAUAAUUAUGCGGUGGGCCCGCAUGUCAGCGCCACUGGGCUGCCCAAUCAGCACAUUGACUGGGUCAACCCAGUCAACGGGGCCCAUGGGGCCCGCUGGCAGCGACCCAGGGGGUGGCCCCACGUCGGCCACGUCGGACGCCGGCGUCGGAGUUGGCUCCGGUGAGCCAAAACGCAGCGGAGGGCGCCGGCGAGCCUCGGGAUUUCGCCUCGGUGGGUCGUUUCGUGCGCGGCUACCCGCGUUCGAACAGGCGCACGCUUGCGCGUCGAACUGUGGGGGUGGCUUGGCCGGAAACGGCCAAAGACGGCGGUGGCGAGCGGCGGAGCGGACACCGGAGUUCGGGCGUCGACGGAUCUAGAGCUAGGGGGUACGGGAACCACGGGCUCGUGCUCAUUGGGCUCCUGGGAGCACCAGGAACUCCACCGUGGGCUUGCGCGAGCGUGACGGCGGCUGUGGCCACGGCGGCGAGGCGAUCCGCGGCGACGGGCUCACGGCAACGACGACAAGGUAGCUACGGGGCCGAAGAGGUCAAUGAAGAGGAGCAAGGGAUGAAGAAGCUCACUGCACGGCUCACACGAUGGCCCGUGACGGUUUAGGAGCGCAGAGGUGGCCGGAGACGACGGCGGUCAUCGGCGACAGAGAAGAUGGGGACGAGCUCGAUCCCGACCGUGUGGUGCUCCUCCAGCUCGAUGGCGAGGCGUAGACGAGGUAGAGGAUGACGGCGGACGCCUACGGCAUGUCGGGGGUGCAGGGCGAUGACGGUGGCCGCGGGAACGACGGAGAACGGCGGCGAUGGCGCUCGGGUGAGGCGGGCGAGCGAGACAGAGAGGGGGCGAAGCGUGUGGAUCUGGGAGGCGCACAGGCGAGCGAGAGGGGGCGCAAGUGGGAGAGAUGGGUGGAGGCCGAGGCGUCGGGGCGGCCUUAUCCCCUCCCGGUGUCGGCGCUGGCGAGGUGGUCGGGCGGGGACGUGCCCCUGUUGCGACCCCGGUCGGGGGAACAGGGGGGAACGCGACCCAGGAAGGGGCUGGGCCGGCGGUAGGCCAGCUGGGCCAGGUGGGCCGGUCUGGCCUGCGAGCAAGGGCCGCCUGGUCCAGUGAGGGAGGGGGAUCUUUUUCUUUUCUUUUCUUUAUUUUUCUUUUCUGUUUUAUUUCACUUUAAAAUACUUAGGCACUUUCUAAAAAAAUGUUUUCUCCACAAUAAUUACCAGUGCAAUAUUUGGCACCCACCGAACAUUUUUGUUUUGACUUUUGAAAACUUUGGGUGUUUAUCACUAAUUCAUUUUUUUGAAUUUGAAAUGUUUUGAACUAACAGUUGAUUAGCAACAAUAACAGAGAUGACAUGGCAUCAUCAGGAGAGUUUUACUGUAGCCUAAUUAUCCGGGUGUUACAAAUCUCCUCCACUACAAGAAAUCUCGUCCCGAGAUUUAGGAGGUAGAAGGAAACAGUGCGGGGUAUUCAUCACGCAGGCGAUCCUCGCGUUCCCAAGUGGCUUCAUCCUCAGAAUGGUGUGACACUGGACUUUGAGGAACUUGAUCGCCUUCUGACGUGUGCGGUGUUCAGCUUGGUCGAGAAUGCAGACCGGAUGCUCUUUAUAGGAGAGGUCCUGCUGCAAUUCGAGCACUUCAUGAUCCACUGCUCGGAUUGGUUCCUUGAAGCAACGGCGGAGCUGUGACACAUGGAACACAUCGUGAACCUGAGAAAGGUUCGGCGGUAGCUCCAGUUGGUAUGCCACUUUUCCAUGCCUUUCCAGAAUAGUGAAUGGGCCAAUAUAGCAAGGAGCUAGUUUGCCCUUGAUCCCGAAGCGGUGAGCACCCUUCAUUGGUGUGACUCGAAGAUAAGCCUUUUCGCCAGGUUGAUAGACCAUGUCUUUAUGAUGACGGUCAUACUGACUCUUCUGACGCGACUGCGCAGUCUUGAGAUUCUCAUGAAUAAUGCGGACUUGUUCUUCGGCGUGUUGGAUAAUAUCCGGACCAAAGAGUGGACGUUCCCCAGUUUCUCACCAGCUCAGAGGGGUUCGUCACUUUCGUCCAUAUAACACUUCGAAGGGGGCCAUCUUCAGACUAGCUUGAUAGCUAUUAUUAUAAGAGAACUCGGCAUACGGGAUAGAUUCCUCCCAUUUCUUGCCGAAGGAAAUAACACAAGCUCGAAGCAUGUCUUCGAGAACUUGGUUGACGCGUUCAACGUGCCCUUGCGACUGAGGAUGAAACGCAGUACUGAAUGACAGAUGAGUUCCCAUAGCUUCUUGGAAACUUGCCUAGAAUCUUGAAGUGAAUAAGAUGCCACGGUCUGAACUGAUUACCAAUGGAAUACCGUGAAGUGAGACAAUUCUGGACAUGUAGAGAGUUGCCAGCUGACUAGCAGUGAUCGUUUCUUUGACCGCCUGGAAAGCCGGUCAAUGACGACAAGAAUAGCAUCAUUACCCUUCUCUGAUUUGGGAAAUCCAGUGACGAAGUCCAUCUCGACAUGGUCCCAUUUCCAUUCAGGAAUAGAGAUAGGUUGCAGAGUUCCAGCAGGCCUUUGGUGUUCUGCUUUGAUACGACGGCAAACGUCACACUCAGCAACAUAACGAGCAAUGUCUUGCUUCAUAUUCGACCACCAGAAUCUCUGACGGAUGUCUUGGUACAUCUUUGUACUACCAGGAUGGAUACAUAGAGGCGUAUCAUGAGCUUCUUUCAUAACUUCCUGUGUCAUAUCCAGGUUUUUCUCUGCAGAUGGCACCACUAGGCGGCCCUUGAAGUACAAAGUGCCAUCAUCAGCAAUAGUGAAGAAUGAGGGCUUUCCUUCUGCGAGGUAGCGCUUAAUCUUGUGGGCUUCAGAGUCAUAUCCCUGUAUUCUCUUGAUGGAGUCCAAGAGAUCUGGUUCGACAGCCAGGGUAUUGAGCGAACCCUGGGAAACAACCCAGAGGUUCAUCUUGCGAAACUCCUUAGGAGGGGGAGCGAGUGCACCCGGAGGAACAAUAUGGAGGUUCAGCUUUCUGAAUUCUUCAACAAGCGAGGGCUGAACUUUGUGAACCUGGAGGUGGUUGCAGUAAGACUUGCGGCUCAAGGCAUCAGCCAUUACAUUAGCCUUUCCUGGCGUAUAGGAAAUACCCAAGUCAAAGUCUGCAACAAUCUCCAUCCAUCUCUGCUGACGGAGGUUCAUGUCUCGCUGAGUAAACAGAUACUUCAGACUUUGGUGGUCAGUGAAGAUCUCGCAACGAUUACCGAGAAGGUAAUGUCGCCACUGCUUCAGCGCAUGAAUGACAGCAGCAAGUUCAAGGUCGUGAACUGGGUAGUUCUCUUCGUGAGGGCGCAAUUGCCGAGAGGCAUAAGCAAUCACUUUGCGGUCUUGCAUUAGGACACAGCCUAAUCCUUGACGGGAAGCGUCGCAGUAAAUGACGAAGUCCUUCUUAGUAUCAGGUGGAGCUAGAACUGGGGCAGAAGUCAACUUGUCUUUGAGUGCCUGGAAACUUUCCUGACAUUUGUCUGUCCAUUGGAACUUGACGCCCUUAUGCAACAAGUUAGUCAGAGGCCUGGCGAUCUUGGAGAAGUUCUCGAUGAAUCGAUGGCAAUAGCUGGCGAGACCGAGAAAACUUCUGACUUGCUUAACGUUCUUGGGAGGAGUCCAAUCAAGGAUAGCCUGGACUCGUUCAGGGUUGACGGCAAUACCAUCCUUAGAGAUGACAUUCCCAAGAUAGGUUACUUCAGGUAGACAGAAUUCACAUUUGGAGAACUUGGCAUAUAGUUGAUGCUCUCGUAGCUUUUCCAGCACAAGCCGAAGAUGUUCAGCAUGUUCCUCUUCGUUCUUGGAAAAUACCAGGAUAUCAUCCAGAUAAACCACGACGAACUUGUUGAGGUAAUCCAUGAAUAUAUAGUUCAUCAAACGAGAGAAGGUGGCUGGAGCAUUGGUUAAACCGAAAGACAUGACGGUGUACUCGUAUGAACCAUAUCGAGUCACGAAGGUGGUCUUUGGGAUAUCCUCUUCGCGAACACGGAUCUGGUGGUAACCCAACCUCAAGUUGAGCUUAGAGAACACCGAUGAACCCGCCAGUUCAUCAUAUAGAUCAUUGAUCCGAGGAAGAGGGUAUUUAUUCUGAAUGGUAGCUUGGUUUAUAGGACGGUAGUCUUGAACUAAUCGGUUUGUCCCAUCCUUCUUCUUGACAAAGAGAGAAGGUGCUCCCCAAGGAGAGCAACUUGGGCAAAUGAAUCCUUUGCGAACAGAUUUGUCGAUUUCCUCCUUAAGCUCAAGGAGUUCAUGCGGCGGCAUCUUGUAGGGUCGCUUGGCUAUAGGAGUGGUGCCUGGUUUCAAGUCGAUGAUGAAUUCGACAGCUCUAGCAGGGGGAAUCCCUGGAAGUUCUUCAGGAAAGACAUCGAGGAAUUCAUGCACGACGGGAAUGUUUUCAAUGCCCUCGAGUGGUGCAGCGUUCAAUGCAUUCACUGCAUAGAGCCAGGCCUCGGCAUUUUGCACCAGAUGAACUUGGUAAGUAACUAUUUCAUCUGAAGGGUGAAGUAGAUGGACGGUCUUAGUGGCCCAAACUAUAGAAGCAGUAUGCGCUUUCAACCAAUCCAUCCCCAAAAUGAGGUCGAUGUUAGACAACUUCAGGAUAAUGGGAGAGGCAUAGAAUUCCAGCCCUUCGAUUUCCACGGGGACGUCGAUGCCAACCAGGGAGGUUUGACACUGUCCCACGGGGGUUUUGACCACUACCGAGGCGUUCAUCUCCUCACAUUUAACGUCGUGCUUGUAUGCAAAAUCUUCUGACAUGAAUGAAUGCGAUGCACCUGUAUCAAAUAAAACAGAUGCUGGUACUGAAUUUACGAGGAGUGUACCCAUCACAGUAGCAGGCUGGUCUUGAGCUUCAUUGAGAUCAACGUGGUUGGCAUGAACACGGCCAUAAUACUUGGCCUUGUUGCUGCGGGGCUGGUUGCUUCCAUGGCCAGUUGCUGGAAGGGCCAGUUGAUUCUGGUACUGGUUGCAUUCUCUAGCACGGUGUCCUGGUUGACCACACCUGAAGUACAGGCCAUUAUUGGGAGUGGGAACAGGAGCUUGGGGUGGUGGAGCUGGAAGUCUUGGCUGCCUAAAUGGUGGUGGAGGCAGACGAGGUGCAGCAUAGGUCUGCCUUGGGGCAGAUGCAUUUGGACGGUACAUGCUGUUCGGGAUCCAUAUCUUACGCUUCUGUGAGGGCGGGCCCGAAGAUGAGCCCGUGUCAAGGUUGCGCCUGUGAGAGCUCUGGUAUUCCUGCAGACCAAUUUCGACAUUGAUGGCCUUGUUCACCAAGGUGGCGAAAUCAGCAAAGUCAUGCACUAGAAGUGCGAGCUUGAUGUCAGCUUGAAGGCCAUCACGGAACUUCUCCUGUCUGCGUGCAUCAGUUGCAAUGUCCUCUUCAGCAUAGCGAGACAAGUCUAGAAACUCCCGCUGAUAAGCUUCAACAGUUUUGUUGCCUUGGGUGAGGUUGCGGAACUCACGCUUCUUCCGGUCCAUGACUCCCUGAGGAAUGAAGCGGGCACGGAAAGCAGCUUGGAAGUCUGGCCAGGUGAUGAUUGUUCCAGCUGGCAGAGUACGCCUGUGGCUGUCCCACCAUUGAGCUGCGGGUCCCUUCAGGAAGAAGGAAGCAAAGGUGACAUAGCUGGCAGGGGCUACAUCGGCCGACUCCAUCUCAUAGGUGAUGUCACGGAGCCAGUCAUCAGCAUCCAGAGGCUGAGUUGAGCUGCGGUACACAGUUGGGUUGAGGCGCAUGAAAUCCUGCAGAGUUACUGGGGUUGGUUGCUGGUCCAUAUUGGGGCGAGGAAACUGAGCCAUCAUAUUUUCCAUGAAUAGGCGGUUCAGUUCGAACUGUUGGAUCAUACCAGCCAUGUACUCAGGUGGUGGUGGGGCACUGCCACCACUACCACGACCACCUGGUCUAACCAUCCUGCUAAUAUAUAACAGGAGUAGUUCAGCAUUGAGAAAUUUGCAAAGACAAGAAUCAUUCAUGAUGAAACAUGCAUCAUGAAAGGAGCACGAUAGCUACUACAUAGUAGUCGGUAUAACUUACAAAAGGGGUCAUGCAUAGAGUUCAGUACACAGAGUUCAGUACAUAGACUAAAACAACAUAGGCGGCACACAGACUCGCGGCGAAUGCAUCUAACACUAACAAGCAAGCCUACAUCAGUCCCAGGAGGUACUGUGGAGGUAGGUGUAGCCUGAAAGCAGGUAGUGUCGCAUCGGGAACUCCACGUCAGCAACCUGGGGUCCGCGAAUACUCUGGUGCAGAAUCUGACGCUCAGGUGGCAGAAGAGGUCCAAGUGCGGGAGAGUGGCCUCCCACAUCUGGCCAGCCAACACCCAGGGGCAUCACAGUCCUGGCUGGGUAGAUCGCAGAAUGGGGCAGCUCCCUAGAUCGGACAAAGGGGUGCAACAGCGUCAGAGCACGGUAAAGGUGCUGACGGGUGGUGUACAACUCGUGGCGAAGAGCUCGGUUAGCUCGAUCCAGCCCAUCAGCAUGCAGAACUAGGUUCUGAUGGUAGAAGGGCUCUCGGGUGACAGUGGAGUAGGCAACAGUAUAGUAUCCCUCCGCACCAACAUAAGAUGCGAUAGCAAUGUGCCUGAAAGGGGAGGUGUCCAACUCUCGAUACUCUCCACGAAGACGUGUCAGAGCAGCAUAAGUAGCAUCGUGGACAGCCAUAUCGAUGGUCACUCCAACACCAUGAGCGGUGUGCGGCACAGUAGUGGAGUCAUACUCCCGCGAGUAGAGGUGGACGAUGGCACGGUACUGCUCCUGGUUAAAGUCCUGGUACUCCUCGUAGAAGGUGUACUCAGGGUGCCAGCGAUAACCCAGAUAGGUCAUCAUCUCAGCUAGCACAGAAGGUGAUCCCGAGGCACCAAUGGUCGUCGUGUGGCGCACGACCUGCCUCGUGGGUUCCAUCUGAAAGCAAAGAUGUUUCAAAGGAGUCAAAUGACAGUGUGUGAAUUGUUCAAAAUACUAUUCUAAGAAAUAACUAUGGCUUAUCCAACUUUGGGGUGAAUGCGGUCACGGGAUCCUAGUGUUAGAGUUAGUAAAUUCGUUUAACCCGAGUAGAAGAGAGUUCAGAGUCCCAGAGUAAAGGUCGAGGAGUGAAAGAUCCUAGUACCACCCAAUGGCGACGUGGGCCCGUAAGACACACAACCAUGUUAGUAAAAGUUUUGUAAUGUCUAGACUCAACUUCGGCCAAGGAGUGUGGAACGGGGGAUUCCUACAGGCAGUCGGCUCUGAUACCAACUUGUGACGCCCCCGAUUCAAUCGUACACUAAUCAUGCACGCAAACGUGUAUGAUCAAGAUCAGGGACUCACGGGAAGAUAUCACAACACAACUCUACAACAUAAAUAAGUCAUACAAGCAUCAUAAUACAAGCCAGGGGCCUCGAGGGCUCGAAUACAAGUGCUCGAUCAUAGACGAGUCAGCGGAAGCAACAAUAUCUGAGUACAGACAUAAGUUAAACAAGUUUGCCUUAAGAAGGCUAGCACAAACUGGGAUACAGAUCGAACGAGGCACAGGCCUCCUGCCUGGGAUCCUCCUAACUACUCCUGGUCGUCGUCAGCGGGCUGCACGUAGUAGUAGGCACCUCCAGUGUCGUAGGAGUCGUCGUCGACGGUGGCGUCUGGCUCCUGGACUCCAGCAUCUGGUCGCGACAACCAGGUAGAAAGGAAAGGGGGAAAAGAGGGAGAGAAGCAACCGUGAGUACUCAUCCAAAGUACUCGCAAGCAAGGAUCUACACUACAUAUGCAUGGGUAUAUGUGUAAAGGACCAUAUCAGUGGACUGAACUGCAGAAUGCCAGAAUAAGGGGGGGAUAGCUAGUCCUGUCGAAGACUACGCUUCUGGCAGCCUCCAUCUUGCAGCAUGUAGAAGAGAGUAGAUUGAAGUCCUCCAAGUAGCAUCGCAUAGGAUAAUCCUACCCGGCGAUCCCCUCCUCGUCGCCCUGUUAGAGAGCGAUCUCCGGCUUGUAUCUGGCACUUGGAAGGGUGUGUUUUAUUGAGUAUCUGGUUCUAGUUGUCAUAAGGUCAAGGUACAACUCCGGGUCGUCCUUUUACCGAGGGACACGGCUAUUCGAAUAGAUAAACUUCCCUGCAGGGAUGCACCACAUAACCCAACACGCUCGAUCCCAUUUGCCCGGACACACUUUUCUGGGUCAUGCCCGGCCGCGGAAGAUCAACACGUCGCAGCCCUACCUAGGCACAACAGAGAGGUCAGCACGCCAGUCUAAAUCCUAUGCGCGCAGGGGUCUGGGCCCAUCGCCCAUUGCACAACUGCACAUUGCGUACGCGGCCGGAAGCAGACCUAGCCUAGUGGCGUUCCAGUCCAAUCCGGCCCACGCCGCUCAUUCGCUGACGUCACGAAGGCUUCGGCUAAUACCACGACGUCGAGUGCCCAUAACUGUUCCCGCGUAGUUGGUUACUGCGUAUAGACCAAAUGGCCAGACUCAGAUCAAAUACCAAGAACUCGUUAAGCGUGUUAUUUUGAAGUAACCGCGAACGCCGUCCAGGGCCAGGCCCACCUCUCGCCUAGGUGGUCUCAACCUGCCCUGUCGCUCCGCCACAAAGAUCCACUUGCGGGUACUCCUUCGAGCCGACCCGACUUUAGUCACCACAGGUGUCAUGUAUAGAGUAUAUAAGUAUAUACCCGUGAUCACCGCCCAAGUGAUCCAGGCCCUAUAGUAUAGGACAGCAGAUGGACAAGAAUGUAGGGCCACUGAUGGAAAACUAGCAUCCUAUACUAAGCAUGUAGGAUUGCAGGUAAAGGUAACAACAGUAGUAGCAAGGACAGGCUAUGCAUCAGGAUAGGAUUAACGGAAAGCAGUAACAUGCUACACUAAUCUAAUGCAAGCAGUAUAGAGAAGAAUAGGCGAUAUCUGGUGAUCAAGGGGGGGGGCUUGCCUGAUUGCUCUGGCAAGAAGGAGGGUCGUCAACAGUGUAGUCGGUCGGGGCACCAGACGCGGCGUCGUUCUCGUAGUCUACCGGAGAGAAGAGGGGGAAGAAACAAUGAAUACAAUGUAAACAGAUGCAUGACGAUGCAUGGCAUGACAAAGUGUCAUGCUAGGUGUGCCCUAACGCGGCAAUAGGUGAUACCGGCGAAGAGGGGGAACAUCCGGGAAAGUAUUCCCGAUGUUUCGCGUUUUCGGACAGAUGGACCGGAGGUGAAAUGUUGCAGGUUCACUAUGCUAGGGAUGUGUGGUGAAUGAACGGGCUGCGUAUCCGGAUUCGUCUCGUCGUUCUGAGCAACUUUCAUGUAGAAAGUAUUUUCAUCCGAGUUACGGAUUAUUUUAUAUGAUUUUUCAAAGAUUAAACCAUUUUCUGGAAUUAUUUUUAUUAACAGAAAUCUAUUAAUGCGUCAGCAAUGCAUCAGCAUGAUGUCAGCAGUCAGCUGACCCGUUUGACCAGUCAAACUGACCAGUGGGUCCUACCUGUCAUAGACAGUGGACUAACAGAAGUUUAAACUAACUAAAUUUAGGUUAGUUAACUACUGGACCCCACCUGUCAGUGCCUCAUUUAUCUAACUAAUUGAUUUUAAUUAUAAAAUGUUUUACGUAAAAUAAUUAUGCGGUGGGGCCCGCAUGUCAGCGCCACUGGGCUGCCCAGUCAGCACAUUGACUAGGUCAACCCAGUCAACGGGGCCCAUGGGGCCCAUUGGCAGCGACCCAGGGGGUGGCCCCAGGUCGGCCACGUCGGACGCCGGCGUCGGAGUUGGCUCCGGUGAGCCAAAACGCGGCGGAGGGCGCCGGCGAACCUCGGGAUUUCGCCUCGGUGGGUCGUUUCGUGCGCGGCUACCCGCGUUCGAACGGGCGCACGCUUGCGCGUCGAACUGUGGGGGUGGCUUGGCCGGAAACGGCCGAAGACGGCGGUGGCGAGCGGUGGAGCGGACGCCGGAGUUCGGGCGUCGAUGGAUCUAGAGCUAGGGGGUAUGGGGAAGCACGGGCUCGUGCUCGUUGGGCUCCUGGGAGCACCAGGAACUCGACCGUGGGCUUGCGCGAGCGUGACGGCGGCUGUGGCCACGGCGGCGAGGCGAUCCGCGGCGACGGGCUCACGGCAACGACGACAAGGUAGCUACAGGGCGCGAGAGGUCAAUGAAGAGGAGCAAGGGAUGAAGAAGCUCACCGCGCGGCUCACACGUUGGCCCGUGACGGUUUAGGAGCGCAGAGGUGGCCGGAGACGACGGCGGUCACCGGUGACAGAGAAGAUGGGGACGAGCUCGAUCCCGACCGUGCGGUGCUCCUCGAGCUCGAUGGCGAGGCGUAGACGAGGUAGAGGACGACGGCGGAUGCCUACGGCAUGUCGGGGGUGCAGGGCGAUGACGGUGGUCGCGGGAACGACGGAGAACGGCGGCGAUGGCGCUCGGGUGAGGCGGGCGAGCGAGACAGAGAGGGGGCAAGCGUGUGGAUCUGGGAGGCACAGAGGCGAGCGAGAGGGGGGCAAGUGGGAGAGAUGGGUGGAGGCCGAGGCGUCGGGGCGGCCUUAUCCCCUCCCAGCGUCGGCGCCGGCGAGGUGGUCGGGCGGGGACGUGCCCCUGUUGUGACCCCGGUCGGGGGAACAGGGGGGGAAGGCGACCCGGGGAGGGUCUAGGCCGGCGGUAGGCCAGCUGGGCUAGGUGGGCCGGUCUGGCCUGCGAGCAAGGGCUGCCUGGUCCAGUGAGGGAGGGGGAUCUUUUUCUUUUCUUUUCUUUAUUUUUCUUUUCUGUUUUAUUUCACUUUAAAAUACUUAGGCACUUUCUAAAAAAAUAUUUUCUCCAAUAUAAUUACCAGUGCAAUAUUUGGCACCCACCGAACAUUUUUGUUUUGACUUUUGAAAACUUUGGGUGUUUUUCACUAAUUCAUCUUUUUGAAUUUGAAAUGUUUUGAACUAACAGUUGAUUAGCAACAGUAACAGAGAUGACAUGGCAUCAUCAGGAGAGUUUUACUGUAGCCUAAUUAUCCGGGCGUUACAAAUCUCCUCCACUACAAGAAAUCUCGUCCCGAGAUUUAGGAGGUAGAAGGAAACAGUGCGAGGUAUUCAUCACGCAGGCGAUCCUCGCGUUCCCAAGUGGCUUCAUCCUCAGAAUGGUGCGACCACUGGACUUUGAGGAACUUGAUCGCCUUCUGACGUGUGCGGCGUUCAGCUUGGUCGAGAAUGCGGACCGGAUGCUCAUUAUAGGAGUGGUCCUGCUGCAAUUCGAGCACUUCAUGAUCCACUGCUCGGAUUGGGUCCUUGAAGCAACGGCGGAGCUGUGACACAUGGAACACAUCGUGAACCUAAGAAAGGUUCGGCGGUAGCUCCAGUUGGUAUGCCACUUUUCCACGCCUUUCCAGAAUAGUGAAUGGGCCAAUAUAGCGAGGAGCUAGUUUGCCCUUGAUCCCGAAGCGGUGAGCACCCUUCAUUGGUGUGACUCGAAGAUAAGCCUUUUCGCCAGGUUGAUAGACCAUGUCUUUAUGAUAACGGUCAUACUGACUCUUCUGACGCGACUGCGCAGUCUUGAGAUUCUCACAAAUAAUGCGGACUUGUUCUUCGGCGUGUUGGAUAAUAUCCGGACCAAAGAGUGGACGUUCCCCAGUUUCUGACCAGUUCAGAGGGGUUCGGCACUUUCGUCCAUAUAACACUUCGAAGGGGGCCAUCUUCAGACUAGCUUGAUAGCUAUUAUUAUAAGAGAACUCAGCAUAUGGGAGAGAUUCCUCCCAUUUCUUGUCGAAGGAAAUAACACAAGCUCGAAGCAUGUCUUCAAGAACUUGGUUGACGCGUUCAACUUGCCCUUGCGACUGAGGAUGAAAUGCAGUACUGAAUGAUAGAUGAGUUCCCAUAGCUUCUUGGAAACUUGCCCAGAAUCUUGAAGUGAAUAAGCUGCCACGGUCUGAACUGAUUACCAAUGGAAUACCGUGAAGUGAGACAAUUCUGGACAUGUAGAGAGUUGCCAGCUGACUAGCAGUGAUCGUUUCUUUGACCGCCUGGAAAGCCGGUCAAUGACGACAAGAAUAGCAUCAUUACCCUUCUGUGAUUUGCGAAAUCCAGUGACGAAGUCCAUCUCGACAUGGUCCCAUUUCCAUUCAGGAAUAGAGAUAGGUUGCAGAGUUCCAGCAGGCCUUUGGUGUUCUGCUUUGAUACGACGGCAAACGUCACACUCAGCAAUAUAACGAGCAAUGUCUUGCUUCAUAUUAGACCACCAGAAUCUCUGACGGAUGUCUUGGUACAUCUUUGUACUACCAGGAUGGAUACAUAGAGGCGUAUCAUGAGCUUCUUUCAUAACUUCCUGUGUCAUAUCCAGGUUUUUCUCUGCACAUGGCACCACUAGGCGGCCCUUGAAGUACAAAGUGCCAUCAUCAGCAAUAGUGAAGAAUGAGGGCUUUCCUUCUGCGAGGUAGCGCUUAAUCUUGUGGGCUUCAGAGUCAUAUCCCUGUAUUCUCUUGAUGGAGUCCAAGAGAUCUGGUUCAACAGCCAGGGUAUUGAGCGAACCCUGGGAAACAACCCGGAGGUUCAUCUUGCCAGGGUAUCAGCAAGACUAAAAAUGUUGACCGGUCCCUCCACAAUUUGUAAUCCAAUGGGGAUUUAAUAGAUGUUUAGAUCUAGCCAGCCGCUCAUUUCCUUCGUCAUGCAAAAGAGAUGCUCAUAUCUAGCUAGAUUCCUAGGAGUUUUGAUGCCAUUCUUAUUUUGAGUGGUACCUUGGGUCUGCACAGGUAUGACAGAUGCGCAUACAAUGAGCAUACCAAAGAAAUAACUGUGACGGACAAAAUAAAUUAUGAACAGACAUCUUCAGAGACUAACCUUGGGUCUAGCUGCUUGUCAACAAAAGGAUCAAUGGAGAUGACUUGGUUAAAAGAUGUGCCGACAACCUGCAUACAAUGAUUUACAGAGAAGGAGAUGAGUAAGGUUUGUUUGCUUAAUUAGGACUCUGCAUCAACAAAUCACGUGAAGCAUUCUCAAUGAACAAUAAUUUACAUAUCCACCAAGAUAAAAUUCGCAGUUAGCAAAUAUGUUGAUAAUAUAAAUCUGCACCACAAUGAAAUCCCCAAGGCAUCUAAUACUUCAAUCUUUCAAGAACGACUUUUCAACAAAUGAAUCUUAGACACUUAGUGAAGCUCCAAAUGAGAAUCCAUCAGAAUUAUUUUGAGAUGCCUUAUUCAGUUAACCAAACAAAGCAUGUUCAUCUUAAUAAAAAGGCAGGAGAAGCGUCAUACCACUAUCCGUGAAUUGCAUGUAGAACUUGAUCGUGGAGGUGGGUUGGGGCUCUUUGGUGCUAGCUCUUCCAUUUUCAGAUAAAGUUGCUUGUUCUUCUCCGGGUCUCCUGCCAUAAAUCGUGGAUGGACUUUCUAAAAAUCAAUUAUACAUAUGGAUUAAGCCUACAUUAGAGGCUGCAGCAGCAGCAUACAAACCUACAAAUAAUCAGACCUAGAACAAUAAUAGCAUUUAAAGUAACACCACACUCUUUCUGUGGAGGGAGGAAUAGCAACAUCAAGCAGUGUAGGGAAGUAAUUGGUAGGGAGGAGCAAGAAGAAACCUUACUGCUUGGGGACGCCAUUGACAGAUGAGGAGCAGGCGAGCUUCAGUUGCUUCGGGAGGCAGCCAUAGCACCGCAGCGGAGACAACAACAUUGAGAGGAGGGAGGCGACGCACAUCAGCUUGGGGAGGUGGCAGAGAUGGUGCAGGUCGGCGCAGUAAGAGGACAACUGGCGGCGGCUUCUCGUCCACCGUUGCAUGUCGCCCCUCCACAACUUGAGCACGAGGGAGGGCCGGUGGAGAUCACAUGGAUAGGAGGAGGGAGGAACAGCGGCGGCGAACUCGGUGGCUGGAGAGGAACGGGGAGGAGAGGAGGCCGGCGGCGGGUAGCGGCUCAACCUCCUCAUCCACUCCUACGGUUUGGGAGGGGAACCCUAGCCGCCUUGGCAUGCUGCUGCUGCUCCCCGCCGCCGCUGCCGCCGUCGCGCUCCUCGUCCUCCCUCCGCUGCUGCUCGUCGUCGUUGGGAGGGGGGCUCUGUUGCGGCGGAUCUGGCCGCCGACGGCGCCGUUCGAGGCGGUGGGUGGCGGCGGCAGCGAUGUGGGUGGAAGGAGAGGAGGCGCGUGGGAGUGGAGGGGAGAGGACGCGCGCGGGAGGAGAGAGGAGGCGGCGGCUAGGGUUCAACACAGAGCGGCUGCCCUUUAUAAACCUACACGUGAAAUGACCAAAAUGCCCUCGGCGGGGCAAGAAAAUUACAGGCGGUGGCAGGAACGAGACGGUAACUAUUCAUUGUAGCAGUAACUUUUUUCGAUCCAACAGCCAAGGUCUUCCACGAGCGAGAUCCGACGGUCCUAAACGCAUCAAGUGAACGAUCUGACGAUCGACAGUCGCUGAGCUCUGAGAAGCCUCGUUUUUUAGAAAAGGAGGAUGACCCCCGGCCUCUGCAUCUGGGUGAUGCAUACGGCCACUUUAUUAAUUAUUCUCACAAGACCUUACAAAGUAAUACCACAGUAAGACUAAAGCCGCCGUCUAAGCAACAAACUGUCGCUACACCUAUCCAGUUGAUGAAGGGGCGCAAAUAGCCUGGGCCUAAUACCAAAUGGACAUCGCAGCCAAACCUAACAUCUAAGACCUGAGGACCCAUCCAGGACGCCUGCCGGGCAUGGAUCUCGCCGGUCCGGCGUGCUCUCAGAGGCCACCGCCGCCAACUGCCACCGCUCCAUCUUCAGAAUUGUACUGAUGCAUCAACCUUGGUCGGUCUAGCUAUCGUCGACGCCACCACGGCGCCCAACGGCACCUCCUUCCUGCGCGCAAACAGUUGUGCACGUCGCGGUCGCCAUUGAUACACCUCAGCACCAUGCUGUCAAGUACCACCAGCCGACACAGCUUGAAGUCUUUGGAAGAUCUGUCGUGCGUAGCACCUGCCGACCAGGCAUGACAAAGCGUAGCACCUGUCGGUCAGGCAUGACUUGACAUCUUCACCGAAGCUCCGUGCAAGACGAAGCCGCUCCACCUCUUGCUUCUGACUUCCAGCGCUGCUCCACAAACGAUGCUCCCAAGAGAGAAACGACGCCGCAGUGCCGCCAUCGUCCGAUCUGGAACACCAGAUCCUAGGAUUUCCCCCAGAGCAGCACGAGUGGGUCGACAGUAGUUACACGACAAUGCCUCCAUCAAGGUAACGGCGUAGAACGCCGCCAUCGCCUGCCAAUGGCUCGGUUUUCACCGGCAACCAUGUCUCCCCAACUCGCAGCCGGGACUAGAUGAUGAAUCUCGAGAUCCGGUCACCAAGCCUCUGGCCGGCCAUCUUUGGCGACGAAGAUGACCACCACCAUUGGCCAACGAGAAGCCUCAUGUUCUCCCUAGAUACUUAUAUUAGGAUGUCAGGAUUUGUGUCUGCAUGCGCACGCACACACGCACAAAAAGGACGAACAAUUAGUACGUGUGUUCCAUGUGAAAGAAAGAAUGAAGCAUCACGUAGUAGAAAUAGUACUCUACAUACCCUUGGCGUUGCAGGAUAAGGGAGGCCGGCAUGACUAGAAGAGCUACGGCCAAGCUCAGAAACUGCGUGUUGUUCCUGGCAUGUGCCAUGGCGAAUGACUGGCUAGGUAAUUAAUCCUCUUCUCUAGACGGUGUUGUCUUUUGGUCCAUGGAUGCUUUUAAUGUUUUAUUCGAAUUUUUUUAUUAUUUUCUUUGCCUUCUUUAAAUGUGUGAAAUUAUUUUCAAAAUCAAUGUAUUUUUUUAUUUUUGCGCCUUUUUAGAAAAAACGAUGAACCUUUUCAAAUUUAUGAAAAAAAUUGGAAAUGUGUGAACUCCUAAAAAACGAUGAACUUCAAAUUUGAUGAACUUUUUGAAAAUUCAUGUACAUUUUUAAUUCAUGAUUUGUCUUUAUUUUUUUACCAAAAAAUGUUUUAAUUUUUUAAAGUCAAUGGUUGACCGGUCAAGCUUGACCAGUCAGCAGCGAACCCAACGACCAGUCAACAACCGAACCGAUCUGACUAAGCCAGCGAGCGUGUGUUUGGAUCAGGCCCAAGAGUGUGGCUGCGUGCUCCACCUCGGCGAAGGGGCGCCUGAAGCGUCGUCUAAGAGCUCCCGCGCCCUUCGGCUGAUGCCCUCUCUUCCACUCAAUUUACAUACGGGCCAACGCUUUAGGCUUUGGUCUGGGCUUUUUUCUGUCGUCAUCCCGUCGUCCACGGCCCAGCAAGCCCAGGCUACUUCUCGUGCUUUCUUCUUCUUUCAAGUUCUGCACUGAUUCACGGUGGGUGUGACAGAAACUACUCAUAUUUAUUCUUUCUUUUUUGCGGGGAAAUCAUGUUUAUUCCACGAACAGUCAUGAUGAACUGCUUUGGUUAUUACAAUGGGAUGAGAUGAACACACACACAAACAGCUACAGAAUGUGAAAGAACAAAUAAUUACUACGUGUGUGUUCCAUGUGAAAGAAAGAAUGGAAGAAUGAAGCAUCACGUAUUAAGAAAUACUACUCUACAUACCCUUGGCUUUGCAGGAGAGGGAGACCGACAUGACGAGAAGAGACUGCCAAGCACAGAAACUGUGUGUUGUUCGUGGCAUGUGCCAAUGAGUACCUAGCUAAUUCAUCCUCUUCUUCUAGACGGUAUUUGUCUUUUUGGUCGAUGGAUGCUUUGUGUGUUUAAUUCAGUUUUUCUUGUUAUUUUCUUUCCGUUCUUUCAAUGUGUGAAAUUCUUUUCAAAAUCGAUAUAUUUUUUUAUUUUUGCGCUUUUUAAAAACACAUCUCCAUAAAAUUUUAUGAGCUUUUUUGUAAAUUUGUGAACUUUUUUAAAAAACAAAGAACAUCUUGAAAUUUUAUAAACUUUAUUGAAAAUUCAGUACAUUUUUUAAUUCACGGUUUUUUUAUUUUUUACAAAAAACGUUUUAAAUUUUUUUAAAUCAAUGGUUGCCCGGUCAACCGUGACCAGUCAGCAGUGAACACAACGACUAGUCAAUAACCGAAGCAACCUGACGGAGUCAGCGAGUGUGUGUUUGGGUCAGGCCCAAGAGUGUGGCUGUGUGCGCCACCUCGGCGAAGGGGCGCCAGAAGCGUCGUCUAGGAGCUCCCGCGCCCUUCGGCUGCUGCCCUCUCUUUCUUAGUUUAAGUACAGGCCAACACUUUAGGCUUUGGUCUGGGAUUUUUCUGUCGCGAUUCCAUCAUCCACGGCCCAGCAAGCCCAGGCUACUUCUGGUGCUUUCUUUUUCUUUCCUGCUCUGCACUGAGUCAUGGUCGUUGUGAUAGAAACUACUCUUCUUUUAGGGGUUAUCUUUAUUCCACGAACAAUCAUGAUGAAAUGCUUUGGUUAUUACAGUGGGAUGAGACCAACACACACACACACAAACAGCUAUAGCUUUCUAAGUAGCACAUAACAAACAUCAUCAUCCAGAUAUCACUUCAAAGUCAUCGAAUUGAGAUUACUUAUGGCACUCUGUUUUGCUCCGUUUGCGAGCUGUAAGACCUUUAUGAUGAUAUUUUCUGGUUUUUUAAUAAAAGGGCCGCAUGCAUCAUCAUGAUGCAGAGGCCGGGGGUAUACCUUCAUUUCCAAAAAAACAACAAUACGGUUAGGGGUGGUGCUCACAAUAGCUCGUGAGGUAGUCGUAGCCUUUGCUUACGCAGAAGUUUCGGCACUUGUGCUGGUCAUAACCAUGCACCGGUCUCUUGCAUUCCCACAUAGAUUCAUGGUAUAUGUCAGGAUUUGUGUCUGCAUGCGCACGCACACACGCACAAAAAGGACGAACAAUUAGUACGUGUGUUCCAUGUGAAAGAAAGAAUGAAGCAUCACGUAGUAGAAAUAGUACUCUACAUACCCUUGGCGUUGCAGGAUAAGGGAGGCCAGCAUGACUAGAAGAGCUACGGCCAAGCACAGAAACUGCGUGUUGUUCCUGGCAUGUGCCAUGGCGAAUGACUGGCUAGUUAAUUAAUCCUCUUCCUCUAGACGGUGUUGUCUUUUGGUCCAUGGAUGCUUUUAAUGUUUUAUUCGAAUUUUUUUAUUAUUUUCUUUGCCUUCUUCAAAUGUGUGAAUUAUUUUCAAAAUCAAUGUAUUUUUUUAUUUCUGCGCCUUUUUUGAAAAAAUGAAGAACCUUUUCAAAUUUAUGAAUUUUUUUUGGAAAUGUGUGAACUCCUAAAAAACGAUGAACUUAAAAUUUGAUGAACUUUUUAAAAAUUCAUGUACAUUUUUAAUUUAUGAUUUUUAUAUUUUUUUACCAAAAAAUGUUUUAAUUUUUUAAAGUCAAUGGUUGACCGGUCAAGCUUGACCAGUCAGCAGCGAACCCAACGACCAGUCAACAACCGAACCGACCUGACUGAGCCAGCGAGCGUGUGUUUGGAUCGGGCCCAAGAGUGUGGCUGCGUGGUCCACCUCGGCGAAGGGGCGCCUAAAGCGUCGUCUAGGAGCUCCCGCGCCCUUCGGCUGAUGCCCUCUCUUCCACUCAAUUUACAUAUGGGCCAACACUUUAGGCUUUGGUCUGGGCUUUUUUCUGUCGCCAUCCCGUCGUCCACGGCCCAACAAGCCCAGGCUACUUCUCGUGCUUUCUUCUUCUUUCAAGUUCUGCACUGAGUCACGGUGCGUGUGACAGAAACUACUCAUAAUUAUUCUUUCUUUUUUGCAGGGAAAUCAUUCUUAUUCCAUGAACAGUCAUGAUGAAUUGCUUUGGUUAUUACAAUGGGAUGAGAUGAACACACACACACACAAACAGCUACAGCUUUUGUAUGUAGCACAUGACAAGCAUCAUCAUCCAGAUAUCACCCAAAGUCAUCGAAUUGAGAUUACUUAUGGCAACAGCAGUACAGGUAGGGGUGGUGCUCACAAUAGCUUAGCUCCUAAGGUAGUCGUAGCCCAUGCUUACGCAGAAGUUUCGGCACUUGUGCUGGUCAUAAUCAUGAACUGGUCUGUUGCAUUCCCACAUAGAUUGACAGUAUAUGUUAGUUUCCGUGUUGUUCCUUGCACAAUAUACUUUGUUGCAGUUGCGCAUGCCAUAAUCAUCCAUCGGUCUCUUGCAUUUCGACACAGAUUCACUGUAUGUGUUAGGAUCUGUGUCUGCAUGCGCACACGC